rnacentral:snRNA from 1 species
UUUCUAGGGUUUUACCCUUUCCU